UACGUAGGGUGCGAGCGUUGUCCGGAAUCACUGGGCGUAAAGCGCACGCAGGCGGCUUCGGAAGUUCCAGGUGAAAGCCCUGGGCCCAACCCAGGGAGGCCCUGGAAAACUCCGGAGCUCGAAGACUGGAGAGGCGGGGGGAAUUUCCGGUGUAGCGGUGAAAUGCGUAGAUACCGGAAGGAACACCAGUGGCGAAAGCGAUCCGCUGGCCAGCUCUUGACGCUCAGGUGCGAAAGCUAGGGGAGCGACCGGG
rnacentral:misc_RNA from 1 species